rnacentral:rRNA from 1 species
UACGUAGGGUGCGAGCGUUAAUCGGAAUUACUGGGCGUAAAGCGUGCGCAGGCGGUGAUGUAAGACAGAUGUGAAAUCCCCGGGCUCAACCUGGGAACUGCAUUUGUGACUGCAUCGCUGGAGUGCGGCAGAGGGGGAUGGAAUUCCGCGUGUAGCAGUGAAAUGCGUAGAUAUGCGGAGGAACACCGAUGGCGAAGGCAGCCCCCUGGGUUAACACUGACGCUCAUGCACGAAAGCGUGGGGAGCAAACAGG